GGAGAGGUGGCAGAGUGGUCGAAUGCACCGGACUCGAAAUCCGGCAUACCGGUCUCCGGUAUCGUGGGUUCGAAUCCCACCCUCUCCG
rnacentral:tRNA from 1 species